rnacentral:rRNA from 1 species
GGGUUGUGAGGUUAAGCGACUAAGCGUACACGGUGGAUGCCCUGGCAGUCAGAGGCGAUGAAGGACGUGCUAAUCUGCGAUAAGCGCCGGUAAGGUGAUAUGAACCGUUAUAACCGGCGAUUUCCGAAUGGGGAAACCCAGUGUGACUCGUCACACUAUCAUUAACUGAAUCCAUAGGUUAAUGAGGCGAACCGGGGGAACUGAAACAUCUAAGUACCCCGAGGAAAAGAAAUCAACCGAGAUUCCCCCAGUAGCGGCGAGCGAACGGGGAGGAGCCCAGAGCCUGAAUCAGCAUGUGUGUUAGUGGAAGCGUCUGGAAAGGCGCGCGAUACAGGGUGACAGCCCCGUACACAAAAGCGCAUGUGCUGUGAGCUCGAUGAGUAGGGCGGGACACGUGGUAUCCUGUCUGAAUAUGGGGGGACCAUCCUCCAAGGCUAAAUACUCCUGACUGACCGAUAGUGAACCAGUACCGUGAGGGAAAGGCGAAAAGAACCCCGGCGAGGGGAGUGAAAAAGAACCUGAAACCGUGUACGUACAAGCAGUGGGAGCACCCUUUGGGGUGUGACUGCGUACCUUUUGUAUAAUGGGUCAGCGACUUAUAUUCUGUAGCAAGGUUAACCGUAUAGGGGAGCCGCAGGGAAACCGAGUCUUAACCGGGCGUUAAGUUGCAGGGUAUAGACCCGAAACCCGGUGAUCUAGCCAUGGGCAGGUUGAAGGUUGGGUAACACUAACUGGAGGACCGAACCGACUAAUGUUGAAAAAUUAGCGGAUGAUCUGUGGCUGGGGGUGAAAGGCCAAUCAAACCGGGAGAUAGCUGGUUCUCCCCGAAAGCUAUUUAGGUAGCGCCUCGUGAACUCAUCUCCGGGGGUAGAGCACUGUUUCGGCUAGGGGGCCAUCCCGGCUUACCAACCCGAUGCAAACUGCGAAUACCGGAGAAUGUUAUCACGGGAGACACACGGCGGGUGCUAACGUCCGUCGUGAAGAGGGAAACAACCCAGACCGCCAGCUAAGGUCCCAAAGUCAUGGUUAAGUGGGAAACGAUGUGGGAAGGCCCAGACAGCCAGGAUGUUGGCUUAGAAGCAGCCAUCAUUUAAAGAAAGCGUAAUAGCUCACUGGUCGAGUCGGCCUGCGCGGAAGAUGUAACGGGGCUAAACCAUGCACCGAAGCUGCGGCAGCGACACUGUGUGUUGUUGGGUAGGGGAGCGUUCUGUAAGCCUGUGAAGGUGUGUCGUGAGGCAUGCUGGAGGUAUCAGAAGUGCGAAUGCUGACAUAAGUAACGAUAAAGCGGGUGAAAAGCCCGCUCGCCGGAAGACCAAGGGUUCCUGUCCAACGUUAAUCGGGGCAGGGUGAGUCGACCCCUAAGGCGAGGCCGAAAGGCGUAGUCGAUGGGAAACGGGUUAAUAUUCCCGUACUUGGUGUUACUGCGAAGGGGGGACGGAGAAGGCUAUGUUGGCCGGGCGACGGUUGUCCCGGUUUAAGCGUGUAGGCUGGUUUUCCAGGCAAAUCCGGAAAAUCAAGGCUGAGGCGUGACGACGAGGCACUACGGUGCUGAAGCAACAAAUGCCCUGCUUCCAGGAAAAGCCUCUAAGCAUCAGGUAACACGAAAUCGUACCCCAAACCGACACAGGUGGUCAGGUAGAGAAUACCAAGGCGCUUGAGAGAACUCGGGUGAAGGAACUAGGCAAAAUGGUGCCGUAACUUCGGGAGAAGGCACGCUGACACGUAGGUGAAGUGAUUUACUCAUGGAGCUGAAGUCAGUCGAAGAUACCAGCUGGCUGCAACUGUUUAUUAAAAACACAGCACUGUGCAAACACGAAAGUGGACGUAUACGGUGUGACGCCUGCCCGGUGCCGGAAGGUUAAUUGAUGGGGUCAGCGCAAGCGAAGCUCCUGAUCGAAGCCCCGGUAAACGGCGGCCGUAACUAUAACGGUCCUAAGGUAGCGAAAUUCCUUGUCGGGUAAGUUCCGACCUGCACGAAUGGCGUAAUGAUGGCCAGGCUGUCUCCACCCGAGACUCAGUGAAAUUGAACUCGCUGUGAAGAUGCAGUGUACCCGCGGCAAGACGGAAAGACCCCGUGAACCUUUACUAUAGCUUGACACUGAACAUUGAGCCUUGAUGUGUAGGAUAGGUGGGAGGCUUUGAAGUGUGGACGCCAGUCUGCAUGGAGCCGACCUUGAAAUACCACCCUUUAAUGUUUGAUGUUCUAACGUGGACCCGUAAUCCGGGUUGCGGACAGUGUCUGGUGGGUAGUUUGACUGGGGCGGUCUCCUCCUAAAGAGUAACGGAGGAGCACGAAGGUUGGCUAAUCCUGGUCGGACAUCAGGAGGUUAGUGCAAUGGCAUAAGCCAGCUUGACUGCGAGCGUGACGGCGCGAGCAGGUGCGAAAGCAGGUCAUAGUGAUCCGGUGGUUCUGAAUGGAAGGGCCAUCGCUCAACGGAUAAAAGGUACUCCGGGGAUAACAGGCUGAUACCGCCCAAGAGUUCAUAUCGACGGCGGUGUUUGGCACCUCGAUGUCGGCUCAUCACAUCCUGGGGCUGAAGUAGGUCCCAAGGGUAUGGCUGUUCGCCAUUUAAAGUGGUACGCGAGCUGGGUUUAGAACGUCGUGAGACAGUUCGGUCCCUAUCUGCCGUGGGCGCUGGAGAACUGAGGGGGGCUGCUCCUAGUACGAGAGGACCGGAGUGGACGCAUCACUGGUGUUCGGGUUGUCAUGCCAAUGGCACUGCCCGGUAGCUAAAUGCGGAAGAGAUAAGUGCUGAAAGCAUCUAAGCACGAAACUUGCCCCGAGAUGAGUUCUCCCUGAGACUUAGAGUCUCCUGAAGGAACGUUGAAGACGACGACGUUGAUAGGCCGGGUGUGUAAGCGCAGCGAUGCGUUGAGCUAACCGGUACUAAUGAACCGUGAGGCUUAACCUUACAACGCCAAAG